rnacentral:misc_RNA from 1 species
GAAAUGCGAUAAGUAAUGUGAAUUGCAGAAUUCAGUGAAUCAUCGAAUCUUUGAACACACAUUGCGCCCGCCAGUAUUCUGGCGGGCAUGCCUGUUCGAGCGUCAUUUCAACCAUCAAGCCCCCGGCUUGUGUUGGGGACCUGCGGCUGCCCGCAGGCCCUGAAAAACAGUGGUGGGCUCGCUGUCACACCGAGCGUAGUAGCAUACAUUCUCGCUCAGGGCGUGCUGCGGGUUCCGGCCGUUAAACGACCUUCAUAACCCAAGGUUGACCUCGGAUCAGGUAGGAAGACCCGCUGAACUUAAGC